rnacentral:rRNA from 1 species
GACAUACUGAGGAUUGACAGGCGACCAAAUUAUGCUAGUCCUUUCAUGAUUGUGUGAUAGGUGGUGCAUGGCCGUUCUUAGUUCGUGGAGUGAUCUGUCUGCUUAAUUGCGCUUCAGAUUAAAUGGGUAUCCUUUUUGAUCCUUGGUUAGGUCUUCGGAUUCUUUCUCUUGGUUCAUGGUGCCCUAUGAAAGCAACGAACGUGACCGAGUCCCCUUGUUACCUUUUGAUAUUAGUCUUUUGGCUAAUUGACUAGAGGCCAACUAGGGGGACUGCAAGAGUUUUUAACUCUGAGGAAGGACUCGGCAAUAACAGGUCUGUGAUGCCCUUAGAUGUUCCGGGCUGCACACGUGCUACAAUGAUUACCGCACCGUGCAUCUCUGGAUUUGAUUGAUCAAAAGGUUUUUAGGGCUUGCUCUAUUUACUGGCUGAUCCGUGGUGGAGGAUAUAUGCAUUCGUGUGUAUUCAAAACCAUGUGCCCUAUCUCGUCAGUGCGAUAGGCAAUCACUUCCAAAUGGUAACAACCUCGCGCACAAGUCAAGUUGGGUGUUGGAUUGAUUGUUUCGGCAUGAUUUCCUCGUCCACUGUGCUUCAAGUGAACUCGUGGUCGGGACUGAGGGUUGGUAAUUCUCCCUCACGGUUCCAACUAGGAAUGCCUUGUACGGGCCUCUGGUUCAACAGACCGCCCGGAAUACGUCCCUGCCCUUUGUACACACCGCCCGUCGCUCUUACCGAUGGACUCUGCUGUGAGUCUAUGGGACUCUUCUCGCUUUUUAUGGUGAGAUACGGAAACGUAGACGAACAGUGAGGUCUAAAGGAAAGAGAAGUCGUAACAAGGCAU